ACCUGAUCCUCGGUAGCGAAGGGCUGGAGGCAAACACCGAGCUCCCCCUGAGCCGCCUGGGAGCAGGGAGGGUUCUGCUACCCUGAGGGGCCCUCCCCGCGGGGCAGAGGGGACCAGCCCAACAUGGCUUCCAACACAGAGACCAGAAGGACCCAAUAAGAGACCGAAGACACGACUGAUAAUACAGAAAGGAGGGUGAUGCUGUGUGCAAGGCAGAUACAAGAUGGUUUUUCCAUAAGAGGAAGUGAUCAUGGCAACCAUGACCUUCUCUGACCUUCUCUCUUCCAAGAGGCUGUUGGGAAGGUGGGAUGACCUAGGAUUGACCUUGGACUUGACAUCACAGAAGCCAUUUCAACCUUCACAGGGUUUCCUCAGCAGUGCCCCGGAGCAGGGACCGCGCCAGCCAGCAGAAACAGCUAGUUGUUGUCUGCAGUGAAGAAUAAUUGGAAGCAUGGUGCCUGUUUCUUUUCCUAGGAGUGUUCCACUGACUGACCUCUUUUUGUUUUCAAAUGAAGAGGAGCCAAGAAUAGGACAGCUUGGGAAGGUGAGCUGCGUAUAGCUCGUCAGGCUGAGCUCAUCCUCGUCUACGGCCAAACGUUGGUUUCUCAUUUCUAGAAGAUGAAAGAUGUGAUGACUCAGGAAAAACUGGAAUCUUAGUAACUGUGGUGGGCAUUGAGCCUUGCCGUCCACAAGAGAAAGCUUGCUGCUCGAGAUGUGAGUCUUCAGAUGUUCCUGCCGCCAUAUCUGACAGCUGCUGCCAAGAUUCCCUGGUGGGAUGGACUCUUAUACCUCAACAACCAGAAGCCCAAGUAAACUCUUCUAUAAAUUGAAUGACUCAUGCUUAAAAAAAAAAACAAAAAACAAACUA
rnacentral:lncRNA from 1 species